rnacentral:rRNA from 1 species
CCUACGGGUGGCUGCAGUGGGGAAUAUUGGACAAUGGGCGAAAGCCUGAUCCAGCCAUGCCGCGUGUGCGAAGAAGGCCUUCGGGUUGUAAAGCACUUUCAGUGGGGAAGAAGGCCUUGGGGCUAAUACCCUCGAGGAAGGACAUCACCCACAGAAGAAGCACCGGCUAACUCCGUGCCAGCAGCCGCGGUAAUACGGAGGGUGCGAGCGUUAAUCGGAAUUACUGGGCGUAAAGCGCGCGUAGGCGGUCUGAUAAGCCGGUUGUGAAAGCCCCGGGCUCAACCUGGGAACGGCAUCCGGAACUGUCAGGCUAGAGUGCAGGAGAGGAAGGUAGAAUUCCCGGUGUAGCGGUGAAAUGCGUAGAGAUCGGGAGGAAUACCAGUGGCGAAGGCGGCCUUCUGGACUGACACUGACGCUGAGGUGCGAAAGCGUGGGUAGCAAACAGGAUUAGAUACCCCAGUAGUC